UGGCAAUAACAAAAGGAACUUCUUACAAGAGAAGAGAAAGACCCACGGAGCUCCAGAGUUUCUGUUGGAACAAGACUCUUCUGUUUUGCUUAUAUACGGCUAUGGUUAAGGGCACACAGCUACAGCUCAAAGGCAGCAAGUGGAGAAAAUGAGAAUGAGGGGGCAUGAAGAGGAGGACUGCCCGUCUUUAUUUCGGUUGUAGAGUCACAGACACAUCAGAAGAAGGCUCUGACGUUCAAACCAGAAGGCAGGCCACCGGAGCUCCUAGAAGCCCACAGGGGCG
rnacentral:lncRNA from 1 species